GACGAACGCUGGCGGCGUGCUUAACACAUGCAAGUCGAACGGAAAGGCCCUGCUUGCAGGGUACUCGAGUGGCGAACGGGUGAGUAACACGUGGGUGAUCUGCCCUGCACUUCGGGAUAAGCCUGGGAAACUGGGUCUAAUACCGGAUAGGAGCCAUUUUUAGUGUGAUGGUUGGAAAGUUUUUUCGGUGUAGGAUGAGCUCGCGGCCAAUCAGCUUGUUGGUGGGGUAAUGGCCUACCAAGGCGGCGACGGGUAGCCGGCCUGAGAGGGUGGACGGCCACAUUGGGACUGAGAUACGGCCCAGACUCCUACGGGAGGCAGCAGUGGGGAAGAUUGCACAAUGGGCGCAAGCCUGAUGCAGCGACGCCGCGUGGGGGAUGACGGCCUUCGGGUUGUAAACUCCUUUCGCUAGGGACGAAGCUUUUUGUGACGGUACCUAGAUAAGAAGCACCGGCUAACUACGUG
rnacentral:rRNA from 1 species